AAAAAAAAAAAAAAAAAACAAAAAAAAACAAAAAAUUAUUGCCAUUUUAAGUAUGGAGGUCCGUGUAAGAAAAUAAUGCAAUAUCCAGGUCUCUAUAACUCACAAUGCAAUAUUGAAAACAGCUUAGAAUUUACAAAUUUUAAUAUGUUCCUAUUUCAUUAUGCCUGGGUUCCAAAUGUUUAGUAGUAUUGAUGUGUACACCAGAAUGUUACAAUGGAAUGAAUGGAGUUUCUAUUUUUCUUGUCAAGAUUUUAUCUUGAAAACAUUUUAUUAUUCAUUUUUUCUGUUGAAAUUCUAGUAAAGUACUUCAAGAAGCACUUCCAUGGGGAUUGAAAAGUCAUUAAGCAUGGCAGAACAAACUUUUAGAAGAGGAGGAAGUAGGAAAGUAGCAAGGGUUUACACUUUGUCGAAAAUAAGCAUUGACAUUUAGGAAUGAUCUUGUACUUUAUUUCCAUUUUGAACUGAUAUUAUGCACAAAUUAGGUAGCUUAGUUUCUAUUCAGGAACGUGUCAAUGAUGUUCAUUUGCGAAUUAUAUGGUUAUUUAUAGGAAUGUCCUUGGUGGAUGUCAUAUUGUAGCCUUGUUUCUCUUUAGACUUUAACAUUUGAUAUAUAAAUGGUUUCAAAAAGUAUGUACGUAGAUUUCUUGUGUGUGUUGAAGUGUAAUGCUUUGUUGUACCAUUGCACAGCCAACAUAAUGAGUUGGAGGCAAAGUUUUUUUAGGAGAGAGCAGCCCUUGAAGCUAAAUACCAGAAGGUUUAUGGAUCACUAUACAAUAAGAGGUGUGAAAUUGUAAAUGAUGUCGUAGAAGUUGAAGGAGUUACAAGUGAAGCCACAAUGGACCUUGAGGAUGAUAACUCUACAAAAGAUAUUAGGCAUGAGCACUAUGUGAAAAUGAUAUUAGGCAUGAGAACUCUGUUUUUGGGGCUCUAGAUAUCAAUCCUCAUGCUUUAUAGAAGAAUAAGUGAUAUCAACUCUCAAACCGAAUGAUUUGUGAUCUUUACAGAUCAGUCAAAUCAAAUCAAAGCCUUGGAGAUAAAUUUGGCUGCAGGAAUGAUGCCAGAGAAGUAAAAUAGAAACAGGUAUAAAGGGCUUCACCCUGAGACACCUCAAAUGAGUCAAGAAUUGAAAAAUUUAGCACAAAGUCAGGUCUACAAGAGGAAAAAGAAUAGACGGGAAAAUUCCGUAUUUUCUAAUAUCUAAACUAAGAUAUUCUUGUCAUUUUAAUAUUUGAAAAUUUCAUUCCAAGUUUUUGUCAGUUAACAGACCCCUGUUUUUAAGGCUGUGUUUGGCCAUGCUAAGGGUUCUUUCAUCAGGUCCUCCCAACAUAUUAUUCCAAUCCUUAUAUACUCCUUAAGCAGAAGCCUAUUACCCAGAUAAAGAGCAGGGUAACAAAAUGUAUGUCCCAGUUGAAUGGGCUGAAUUAAGCAUCGAGCCCAAGCCCCCAAUCUGACAUCGGUUGCUUUUAGGGCUGGCGUGUCUAGCUUAUUUAUACAAUAACAGCUCCCCUCUUUUUUUUUUAAGAAAAGCCCAAUACUGUUUAUACUUAUACCCAUCUGUUCCUGUGAUUUGUUAGAGCUAAGUUUGUUUAGGAAGAUGUUUUGGACCAAAAUAGACAUACAAGAUAAAAUAGGUUAUUUUAGCCAAAUAGGAUAAAAUGUCACAUCGAACCCAUAAUCAUUUCAUUUUUUCUUUCAUAAAAGUCAAAAAAGCCAAAAAAAACCUAUCCCAAACAUAGCUUUUUAGCCCCAAGUUAAAAAAGUUAAAAAGACAAUCCACAUCCUAAACAAGCUAUUAGAGUUAAGAGUAGGGUUGGGCGGGUUGAGAGUUUACCUGGGUUGAGAGUUUACCUAGGCUUCGAGUUGUGCGGAAAAUUGUCUAACCCUCCCAACACCAAAUAAUUUCUUGUUUUUACAUGUGUUUGAUAAAUAUAGAUAAUUAUACUCUUACAUAUUAGAAAAGAUCCUACUUAGUGCACAAAUCUGUUGGUUAUGCUUUACAUGUAUUGUUUUAUGAGAUUAUGAAUAUUCACUUGAAACCAAAGUUCUUUUCACUUUUUGUGGCCCUCUUCAUCUUUUGAUGAGUUCCAUUUGUUGUUGUAAUCUCUGUGCUCAUAAAAUUAUUUGGAAUGAAGGAUAGGUUCAUUUUGCAUGAGUACUGUUAUACAAAUAUACUUUUUAUGGAAAAUGUUUGAGUCUUCUAAUAAAAUCUUCACAAUUUUAUCCACAAUGAUGUGAAAUGAUGUGUGUUAACUUUUAAUUUGUUACAUUUAAUCAUGUGGGGCUCUACUUCCAUGCCACAUCAUUGUGGAUAUAUUUAGGAGUCUCAAAUGUGAGUUUCUAGCAUUACUUUUUUUAUUAUUUUUAUUUAAAAUCCUCUAAUCGAUGUACAAACACCUACAAACCCAGAGAGAAAGAGUUGUAUGAGAGAGUGUGAGAGAGGAGGUGAAAGUUGGGUGUUAGGGCAAUGAGCAAGAGAGUUUGAGAAUGAUCCAAACUUUGAGUAAAAAAUUUGGUUAAAAUAUUAAAAUUUCAUUAAAAAUAAAAAAAUAUAUGAAAAAGAAAAUAUUCAAUUUCUAGAAAAAUUAA